CCUCGGAGUACUGGGGAUGAGGGGUGAGCGUCCGGGCAGCAGGCGAGCCCCCAAGGCUGGCCCGCUGACACCGCUGGCGGCAAAAAUUUCUACGGCAGUUUCUCUUGAACCAGGCAGAAAACAACCCCUGAGGCUGCUCGGUGCUCCCUAGUCUCCUGGUUUGCAUUGCACAUCCAUUUUGAGCCUGCUGCUACUGAUGAGAAAAUGACCUCAAACAACUGCCCACUAAAGGUCCCAUGUUGUGACGAUGCCGGGGGCUUUCUGCAUAGCGCUCCGCUUCUCAGACUGAGCAGCUUCUGGAGUUUUGUACAAUGCCUGGGCCUGAGGAAACCUGCCAGGAUAUUCCUGGUAGGAUGAAUGAUCACCCCCCCGUAACAGACAGAGACACCCAGAGCAGAGACAGAGUUCACACUGUGGGAUCUGACUCAAUGUUUGAAUUCUUAGGAGCUCACCACUUCAUUGGAUUUCUCAUGACUGAAAAAAAGAGACCACUAGAAUCUGGAUGAGAUGAGAAUUUAGGUGCUGUUUUAGAUUCCCCUAGAUUAGGUGGAUACCCAAAAGAGUGUGUGGAAAAACUGCAGGGAGGGCCGGGCGCGGUGGCUCAUCCCUGUAAUCCCAGCACUUCAGGAGGACGAGGCAGGCGGAUCAUCUGAGGUCAGGAGUUCGAGACCAGCCUGACCAACAUGGAGAAACCCUAUCUCUACUAAAAAUACAAAAGUACCCGGGCAUGGUGGCACAUGCCUGUAAUCCCAGCUACUCUGGAAGGCUGAGGCAGGAGAAUCGCUUGAACCCAGGAGGUGGAGGUUGCAGUGAGCCAAGAUCGCACCACUGCACUCCAGCCUGGGCAACAAGAGUGAAACUUGGUCUCAAAAAAAAAAAAAAAAAAAAAAACCUGCAGGGAGUCUGAGUCCUCUGAAAUGGGAUGAAAAAUUUAUAUGUAAAAAUUGUGUAUAUUUCCUCCAGCCCCAGGAAGAGAGCCCUGUGUAUUCUGUUGGACAGAUCUGCUGAUUUUCAAGUUUCCAAGACUCCUCCAGACUUAAGAAGUACUGUUUUAUAUUAAAUAUUUUGCAAAGAUUCACAGGGAGAUCAAGUAUUUUGCCCAAGAGCACACAGCUAGAGAGUGGAGAAGUCCGGAUUCAACCCAGACAGAUUGACUCCAGAGCGUGUGCUAUUCGUGGCUAUGCCAGAAUGCCCUGAUGGCCUCAGGUUUGCCUUGCCAACUGACAAAGGCGACUGUUUCCUACCCAUUGGCUCAGAUGGUUCCAGCUUCCUACCCUUCCAGUUAAAAUAAACAAAAACGAGGGUCUUGAGUGUCUAUGAUUUUCAUAAGAUCUAUGGCGUUUCUUCUGCAGAUGAUCAACAGUUGCCUGCCUUGGACUUUGGAGUUCCCAAGAACUAGAAAAUCCAGGUCAGGAACUGUAUCUUUGCUCAGCCACCUGCAAACAGACUUGAGAACAAUGUAAACCACCCUCUGCAGGAUAUUGAUUCUGAUGGAGUAAAUGUUGAUUAAGCAG
rnacentral:lncRNA from 1 species